rnacentral:tRNA from 1 species
CGAGGUGUAGCGCAGUUUGGAAGCGCACAUGGUUUCGGUCUGUGGGGCCGGGGGUUCGAGUCCCUUCACCUCGCCGA